rnacentral:misc_RNA from 1 species
UGGUUCUGGCAUCGAUGAAGAACGCAGCGAAAUGCGAUAAGUAGUGUGAAUUGCAGAAUUCCGUGAAUCAUCGAAUUUUUGAACGCAUAUUGCGCCUAUUGGUAUUCCAAUAGGCAUGCCUGUUCGAGCGUCAUUUAAACCUUCAAGCUCUGCUUGGUGUUGGGUGUUUGUCUCAGUUUGUCUGUAGACUCGCCUUUAAUGUAUUGGCAGUCGGCAAUUAGGUACGAGAGCGCAGCACAUUUUGCGCUUUUGGCUAUAAUAGUCGGCAUCCAUGAAGUAUAUUCCAUCAUUUGACCUCGGAUCAGGUAGGGAUACCCGCUGA